CCUACGGGAGGCAGCAGUGUGGAAUAUUGGUCAAUGGGCGCGAGCCUGAACCAGCCAAGCAGCGUGAAGGAUGACUGCCCUACGGGUUGUAAACUUCUUUUAUAAAGGAAUAAAGUGAGGCACGUGUGCCUUUUUGUAUGUAUUUUAUGAAUAAGGAUCGGCUAACUCCGUGCCAGCAGCCGCGGUAAUACGGAGGAUCCGAGCGUUAUCCGGAUUUAUUGGGUUUAAAGGGAGCGUAGAUGGGUUGUUAAGUCAGUUGUGAAAGUUUGCGGCUCAACCGGAAAAUGGCAAUUGAUACUGGCAGACUUGAGUACUGUAGAGGGAGGCGGAAUUCGUGGUGUAGCAGUGAAAUGCGUAGAUAUCACGAAGAAC
rnacentral:rRNA from 1 species